rnacentral:rRNA from 1 species
ACGGAAGGCAGCAGUGGGGGAUAUUGCACAAUGGGGGAAACCCUGAUGCAGCGACGCCGCGUGAGUGAAGAAGUAUUUCGGUAUGUAAAGCUCUAUCAGCAGGGAAGAAAGACUCGUAAGAGAGAUGACGGUACCUGACUAAGAAGCCCCGGCUAACUACGUGCCAGCAGCCGCGGUAAUACGUAGGGGGCAAGCGUUAUCCGGAUUUACUGGGUGUAAAGGGAGCGUAGACGGAUCGGCAAGUCAGAUGUGAAACCCCGGGGCUUAACCCCGGGACUGCAUUUGAAACUGCGGUGCUAGAGUGCGGGAGAGGUAAGCGGAAUUCCUAGUGUAGCGGUGAAAUGCGUAGAUAUUAGGAAGAACACCAGCGGCGAAGGCGGCUUACUGGACCGUAACUGACGCUGAGGCUCGAAAGCGUGGGGAGCAAACAGGAUUAGAUACCCUGGUA